GGCUUCGUGGUCUAGUGGUAUGAUUCUCGCUUUGGGUGUGAGAGGUCCCGAGUUCAAUCCUCGGCGGAGCCC
rfam:Rozella allomycis CSF55 unplaced genomic scaffold scaffold_3458, whole genome shotgun sequence.